CGCUGGCGGCGUGCUUAACACAUGCAAGUCGAACGGGGAUCGAUCGGGCGGAAGGCUUCGGCCGGAAGGCUGGUGAUUCCAGUGGCGGACGGGUGAGUAACGCGUGAACAAUCUGUCCCAGACAGGGGGAUAACACUUGGAAACAGGUGCUAAUACCGCAUGAGACCACGGUGUCGCAUGGCACAGGGGGUAAAAGGAGCGAUCCGGUUUGGGGUGAGUUCGCGUCCGAUUAGCCAGUUGGCGGGGUAACGGCCCACCAAAGCGACGAUCGGUAGCCGACCUGAGAGGGUGAUCGGCCACAUUGGAACUGAGAGACGGUCCAAACUCCUACGGGAGGCAGCAGUGGGGAAUAUUGGGCAAUGGGCGAAAGCCUGACCCAGCAACGCCGCGUGAGUGAAGAAGGCCUUCGGGUUGUAAAGCUCUGUUAUAGGGGACGAAGUGCGUGACGGUACCCUAUAAGGAAGCCCCGGCUAACUACGUGCCAGCAGCCGC
rnacentral:rRNA from 1 species